CCUACGGGUGGCAGCAGUGGGGAAUAUUGCGCAAUGGGCGAAAGCCUGACGCAGCGACGCCGCGUGAGGGAUGAAGGUCUUCGGAUCGUAAACCUCUGUCAGCAGGGAAGAACGGUCACUGUGCUAAUCAGCAGUGAAUUGACGGUACCUGCAAAGGAAGCACAGGCUAACUCCGUGCCAGCAGCCGCGGUAAUACGGAGGGUGCGAGCUGUAAUCGGAAUUACUGGGCGUAAAGCGCUCGUAGGCGGUAUGUCAAGUCAAGGGUGAAAUCCCCGCGCUCAACGUGGGAACUGCCUUUGAAACUGGCAAACUGGAGUGUGUGAGAGGAUAGUGGAAUUCCAGGUGUAGGAGUGAAAGCCGUAGAUAUCUGGAGGAACAUCAGUGGCGAAGGCGACUAUCUGGCACAUAACUGACGCUGAGGAGCGAAAGCGUGGGUAGCAAACAGGAUUAGAUACCCGGGUAGUC
rnacentral:rRNA from 1 species